rnacentral:misc_RNA from 1 species
UGCAUCAGCCGCCAUGGAAAUGCACAAAAUAUAUACAAAAAAUACUCAAAAUUUACAAAAAAAAAUCUAAACCCAGAAUUGUAUGAUUACAAUAAACGAAAAGGGUAAUCAAAAGUUCCAAUUUUUAUUUAUUUUGAUUUGAGAUUUAGAUGAUCGGCAAAAUGUAUUAGUGAAAACCGACUGAAAGUUUGUUUUAUAUAUAGAAAAAGAGGUCAGAAAUGGAAUGGUGAUGAAAGAGAGAGAAGCUUUUAAGGGUUUUUGUUAACAAAAUUCGAUCAGAGAGAGACUGUUGGAAGGUGAUUUUAUGGAAA